UUAAAAUGAAAAUUUUAUAUUUAUUUAUUUUUCGUUGAUUGUAUACAUGUCAAUGUUGCAGAAUCAUCUAGGCUAUCCUUGACCUAGAAUAAUCUUAAAAGAUAGACAAUUACCAACAAUUUAAAAAGAAAUUAAAUUUAGAAUAUCAUGUCUGGGGUACUCUGUUUAUUUAGAUCGGUUAUAAUAAACAACAAUCAUAGGUACCUACAUCCCCGCAAUCCGAUCUAAAUAUAAAUCAAACAUUUGUAAAAUUUGUAUAUAAAACAAACAAAAUGCCCUGUGAAAGACUUUAACAUGGGCACAAAGGUCACUAGUGAAUUAUAAACACGAAUGUAUUACAAUCAGACCAGUUAAUGUACACCAGACUCCUACUGUGUUCCGCAGCAGAAAUUUCAAUACUUAUUUUUUUUUUGUAAAGCUAAACUGUUAAAGUUUAUAAGAAAAAUACAUUUGUAUAUAUAUAAGGAAACAUUUUUUUUUUAAAAAGGACUUCGUGUGUUCGAGCUAGCACAAUUACAAUGUAAGUUAAAAUUAGGAAUUUCGGAAGUCAUAAUACAUGUAACCUAGAUUGUGAAAGUUGUAAAGGGGAGAAAAUCAAGAUGACAUUUUGUUUCAUUUUCUUACAUUUACAUUUGCAUUUUUAAAAAAUUGAAAUGUAGCAGAAUGCAAUCGUUAUUUAUUUCUUUACACUAGCCUAAGAAAAAUAUUUACUUAGUUUAAAACCAUAUUAUAUAUUUAUUUAUAAAAGACAUUUAAAUAUUCAAAGUAAAACACCAUCAAUAGUAAAACAGUACAUAUGUAAAAGGAUUAAUAUCCGUACGUAGUAAUGAGG